rnacentral:rRNA from 1 species
AUUGAACGCUGGCGGCAGGCUUAACACACGCAAGUCGAGCGGGGGAAGGUAGCUUGCUACUGGACCUAGCGGCGGACGGGUGAGUAAUGCUUAGGAAUCUGCCUAUUAGUGGGGGACAACAUCUCGAAAGGGAUGCUAAUACCGCAUACGUCCUACGGGAGAAAGCAGGGGAUCUUCGGACCUUGCGCUAAUAGAUGAGCCUAAGUCGGAUUAGCUAGUUGGUGGGGUAAAGGCCUACCAAGGCGACGAUCUGUAGCGGGUCUGAGAGGAUGGUCCGCCACACUGGGACUGAGACACGGCCCAGACUCCUACGGGAGGCAGCAGUGGGGAAUAUUGGACAAUGGGGGAAACCCUGAUCCAGCCAUGCCGCGUGUGUGAAGAAGGCCUUAUGGUUGUAAAGCACUUUAAGCGAGGAGGAGGCUACUUUAGUUAAUACCUAGAGAUAGUGGACGUUACUCGCAGAAUAAGCACCGGCUAACUCUGUGCCAGCCGCCGCCGUAA